UACGUAGGGACCAAGCGUUGUUCGGAUUUACUGGGCGUAAAGGGCGCGUAGGCGGCGCGGUCAGUCACUUGUGAAAUCUCUGAGCUUAACUCAGAACGGCCAAGUGAUACUGCAGUGCUAGAGUGUGGAAGGGGCAAUCGGAAUUCUUGGUGUAGCGGUGAAAUGCGUAGAUAUCAAGAGGAACACCUGAGGUCAAGACGGGUUGCUGGGCCAACACUGACGCUGAGGCGCGAAAUCCAGGGGAGCAAACGGG
rnacentral:rRNA from 1 species